rnacentral:siRNA from 1 species
AGCGCAAUUGUUACAUGCUACUAA